CAGCGCUGCUUUUCUUGGACGUUUCCUCCCUAAACUUGGCGGUGCCUGCGUGGCGCCGCCAAUUUUUUUGCCUUG
rnacentral:sRNA from 1 species